rnacentral:rRNA from 1 species
UACGGAGGGUGCAAGCGUUAAUCGGAAUCACUGGGCGUAAAGCGCGCGUAGGCCGUCUUUUAAGUCGGACGUGAAAGCCCUCGGCUCAACCGGGGAACUGCGUUCGAUACUGGGAGACUUGAGUCCUGGAGAGGGUGGCGGAAUUCCGGGUGUAGGAGUGAAAUCCGUAGAUAUCCGGAGGAACACCGGUGGCGAAGGCGGCCACCUGGACAGGUACUGACGCUGAGGCGCGAAAGCGUGGGGAGCAAAC